GACGAACGCUGGCGGCGUGCCUAAUACAUGCAAGUAGGACGCAGUUGCGAACGGGUGAGUAACGCGUAGGUAACUACCUAUUAGAGGGGGAUAACUAUUGGAAACGAUAGCUAAUACCGCAUACUAGUAGAUGGACCUGCGUUGUAUUAGCUAGUCGGUUGGGUAAUGGCCUACCUAGGCAACGAUACAUAGCCUCCUUGGGAGGGGGAACGGCCACACUGGGAAGGGGACACGGGCCAGAACCCUGCGGGAGGCAGCAGUAGGGAAUCUUCGGCAAUGGGGUGAACCCUGACCGAGCAACGCCGCGUGAGUGAAGGAGGUUUUCGGAUCGUAAAGCUCUGUUGUUAAGGAAGCGGUACUUAACCAGAAAGGGCCGGCUAACUACGUGCCAGCAGCCGCGGUAAUAC
rnacentral:rRNA from 1 species